UAGGAAAUAGUGUGAUGGAAGCAUUGAGAGUUUUGAUCUCUUAGGUUGGGCUUCAAACCCUUUUCUUUUA
rnacentral:tRNA from 1 species